GCAAUUGCCCUCUUCAUUCGCGCACUGCUUAUAGUGUAGACAAAGAAUUGAAAUAUGCAUUACUUUAGCUUGCUUCCGUUCAAACCCCAAAAACCCAGCAAAAUUCAACUAUUUAAACCCCAAUCAAUUCGACCCCCGAACCAAAAAACUUCAACUAGCAACCGAUAUCCCCAGCAAAUUUGAGCCAAAUCCUCCCAAAUUCGAGCAAAUCCGAGUAGAAAUUUCCCAUUCUCGAGCAAAAAAUCAAACCCAAAACCCUAGGAAUUUCAAACCCGUUCAAAACCCCAAAACCCCCCAGCAAAUUUCGACCCCAAUCCAACAAAUUCGACUCCUAAAUCCCAACAAAUUCGAUCAACAACUAAAAACCCUCAUUUCUCUCUCUUUCUCUCUCAUCUUCUCACUCUCUCCAUCAUUUAUUAUACGUAUAAAUCUGCAUGAUUUUUCUUGAUUUUUUGGUAUAUGUUUUUGUUGGGUUUGAUAUAGGAAUUUACUUGAAAUUCCAUUGAAGUGAUAAAAAUUUGAAAUUAUUGGUGAAAUUUUGGGGUUUUUGUGUGUUUGUAAUCACCAUUGCAUUAUUAGUGUUGCUGAGAGAUUUGUAUGUGUAAUUACAAUUUCAGUAUUACUAUUCUCAUGUUCCUUGAAAACAACCGAAAAAAGAUGUAAUAUGCAUUAUACUUAGGCUAAAUAAUACCCUAAGAAACAACUGGAGAUGUAAUUUGUCUAACUAUUUUAUGCUCUUUGGUUCUUUAUUAUGGUGUUAUCACCUCCAAAUGAGUGUAGCUUCAUUAUUUUUUGGUUCAUCAUUGAAGUGGUUCCAUAUUCCAAUUUUGAAGAUUUGUUAUUGAGCUGUAGAAAAAAAAGUUGAAUGAGAGUUUUAGAUUGUGGGAACUAUGCCAUUUACUGAUGUAGAAAGGAUGCUCAUGAUAUAACUUUCUCAUUAAAGAUGUUAGGAUUUGCUCUUAGGAUUUUGUAAAUUUAUUGUUAUGUUUUGGAAUUUGAAGUGAUAUUGUCUUAGAGACUAGAUGAUAUGUACAUAUGUUAUUGUUAAGCUUAAGCACAAACAAACAUUGCUUAUUGUCUAAAAUUUUAUUAAUAUUCAUUACAUUUGCAGAUCAGAACAAGCUCAUAUUCUUUAAGCACAAGAGGAGACUAAUCUCCAUUUUUCGUGCAUUGCUCUGCUAUGCUAUUUGGAUCGGAUUGGAUUAAAUAUUUGUUUCCUCUUCUUUCUGUUUCUAAUAUGGUUCUUUAUUGGACUAAGAAAAAUUUAUAGUAAAUAUUAUGCUUUUAUAUAUAUAGUUUUCUGCUGAAAAAAGGUACAGAUGGGCUAGUUCAUACCUUUGACAGGUUGAAUGCUCUGCUACUUACUAUAUGGGACACCUACUAUAUGGGAUCAGAAUUAUGAUUUCUGCCAUAUUUUUGCUUUCUUUACCUUUGCUCUCUUUUGCUACUCUUAUCUUUUUUUUAUUGUUUGUUCAGCUUCAAAAUAUACAAUAUGCAUGUGAACUGAUAUUCCAUCUUUUCUUUCAUAUUGUAAUCUAUAUUAAAUCUUCGCUCUCUGUUUUGGUUUUAUUUUUUGCUAAACUCUCUUUUAGGUCAAUAACUAAUUUUCAUUACUGAAUACCUAUCAGCUUAUAUAGCAAAGAAGCACCUCAGGAACGUCGACAACCAACCUUUCUUGUUAAGGAAAAAGAGACCUGUUGCUGAUGCCUUAGUCGAUGUAUUAACGUUGAAGUCAUUGAUGUCGCUGUUGCUGUCGCUGCUGUUGUUGUUAAAUGUUCCUAUUAAUGUUCCUAUUAAUGCUAAUACCAAUCAACUUUGUAUUAUUAAAGUACUUUCUGUUGGGAUAAAAGUGUAAUAGUUAUUACAAUAAUUAUUAUUGAAAAUAUUUAAGUUAAUAUAUG